AUGGAACGCUGGCGGAAUGCUUUACACAUGCAAGUCGAACGGCAGCACGGGAGCUUGCUCCUGGUGGCGAGUGGCGAACGGGUGAGUAAUGCAUCGGAACGUACCUAUUAGUGGGGGAUAACUAUCCGAAAGGAUAGCUAAUACCGCAUACGUCCUGAGGGAGAAAGCGGGGGAUCGCAAGACCUCGCGCUAAUAGAGCGGCCGAUGUUGGAUUAGCUAGUUGGUGGGGUAAAGGCCUACCAAGGCGACGAUCCAUAGCUGGUCUGAGAGGAUGAUCAGCCACACUGGGACUGAGACACGGCCCAGACUCCUACGGGAGGCAGCAGUGGGGAAUUUUGGACAAUGGGGGCAACCCUGAUCCAGCCAUUCCGCGUGAGUGAAGAAGGCCUUCGGGUUGUAAAGUUCUUUCGGCAGGAACGAAACGGUGGUUACUAAUACUAGCUACUAAUGACGGUACCUGAAGAAGAAGCACCGGCUAACUACGUGCCAGCCGCCGCAGUAA
rnacentral:rRNA from 1 species